AAAAAUAUACAACUUUACUAAUAGUUACUUUUUUAAUCAUUAAAUAAAAAAAUUAAAAUACAUAAGCGGUAAGAUUGAUGGGGCAAACUCAUGGGGCCAUUUAGCAUUUUACUUGUGCAAGGAUGCGGCUAGCGGGCUGCCCAGCCAUUAUUGCUGGGCGUACCGCUAUCGGAUUUAGGAUAUAAU